UCGGAUGUGGUGCACGGUGCACACCUGCAAGGAUUGGGCAACUAGGUCAUUUUGAAAUCCAUGCGGGAGUCCUGGGUUCGACUCCCAGCGUUCGAA